GCAAAGGCCUUGCGUGGCAAGUGCAAGAUUGUAAGUUUGAUCCUUGGUACCAAAAAAUAAAAAAAAUAAAAACAAAGAUUACUAAACACAAUACUUUUGUGCUAGUAACACUAUUCUCUGGCAUUUCUCAAAAAAUAUACUUCCUAUGUUUUAUACUAUCUCUUAAACUUCUUAUGACUUAGCUAACUAAAAAUUUGUAGACUAUGGCUAAUAUCCACAUAAUUUUUCCCCAAACAACCAUGGACCCUAGUAAACACCCUUUUACUUUAUACAUGAGAUCAACUUUUUUUUAGAUUCCACAUAUGAAUAAAAUCGUGUAACCAUCACACCACAGAGUACUGUUCCAGCCGGACCCAUGAGGAAAAAGGGAACACAUGCCUCUCCUUCAGCUGCCGGUGUCAGGAAGACCCAGAACGGUGUGCCUGCAAUCCCUGACUUCUCCACAGUGAAGGCAACAGAGGUGCUAACCAACAGAACUGAGCAGAUCAAAUAUGAAGCCAGUCCCCAGGAGACUAUUGCUUCAGGAAUUAAGGGAUACCCUGCUACAGAGACAAGAUGGCUAACUCUCUAACAUAACACAGCAUGAACAAGGAAGCAGAGAAGUACAAUCUAAUCAAUGAAUGAAAAAACAGAAAAAGACACUGAGGAAAAGAUUUGUGAAUUACAUGAAGAAUUCAAAAUAAUCAUUUGAAAAAUGCUUCAUGAGCUAAAGAACAAAGAAAACUAAAUGAAACUUGGAAAAUAAGAAUACCUACGAAGAAAAAAAAACUAUAAAGAGAAAAAAGGACUGUGCAGCUGAGCAAGUCAGUAAAAAAUAAUGGCUGAGAAACAGGCAAUUAUGAAGAAAGAAAAAGAUCCAAAUUCAAAAAGCUCAACUUCCUCAAAAAACUAAAAUUAACUUGAGCAACUAUUAGCAAGCAGCUCAUCUCCCUGGUAAGUGGCUGUGGUGUGACAGACUACGGCCCCUCCAGGGGGAGAACCACCAGUGACUUCUGAGAUCCACACCAUGUUGGAACUUAUGAAGCUGGGAAACCAAGCAACCAGCCUGCCUCCCUGCUAAGCAAUAGUGAAUCUUCUGGUGCACGACCUAGAGUCAAACAUCCCACUUCCCCAACCCUCCUUCUCCUGUCCGCUCAUUAGCAAAUGGGAACCAGAAAUCUGAGCAUCUCCUGGGAGGUUGACUAUAGCAAAUAAGGGGGACUUCCUUCUACCAUUUCUUUGAAGGCAAAUAUUUUUAUUACUGUUUUGCUCUUUUCUGAUUAAUGGUACUGCUCUAUUCAGUAUUCUGUUUUGAUAAGUUCUAUAGUGUUCUAUAUUUCAUCUCAUUUUGAUAUACAGGAUUGAAAGAACAACUAUUAUAAAGAUAACAAAAUAUACUGUGAUACCUAUUACUGUUAUCCCGGUAACCUGUUGUGAAGUUCUGUACCAAUUUCAUUGUACGAUCUUAGUUGGCUUUAUUCUGACUUGUUCUGUUGUAUACUUUCAAAAUAAAAAAAAAAAUUCUUAUCUUCUUUUGACAACUUAUAUCACUUCUGUUUUUUGUUGUUGCUAUUGUUGAUUUGCUUUUUUUUUUUUUUUGGUACCAGGGAUCGAACUCACAACCUUUCACUUGCCAGGCAGAUGCUUACACCACUGAGCUAAAUCCCUGCUCCUUGAUUUGGUUUUAAUGUUGUUGUUUUGGGAUUUUUUUUUUCUGUUUUUGUUUUCUGGUUUGUU
rnacentral:lncRNA from 1 species